UACGAAGGGGGCUAGCGUUGCUCGGAAUCACUGGGCGUAAAGGGUGCGUAGGCGGGUCUUUUAAGUCAGGGGUGAAAUCCUGGAGCUCAACUCCAGAACUGCCUUUGAUACUGAGAGCUUGAGUUCGGGAGAGGUGAGUGGAACUGGCGAGUGUAGAGGUGAAAUUCGUAGAUAUUCGCAAGAACACCAGUGGCGAAGGCGGCUCACUGGCCCGAUACUGACGCUGAGGUGCGAAAGCGUGGGGAGCAAACAGGG
rnacentral:rRNA from 1 species